UGCCAGCAGCCGCGGUAACACGGGGGGCGCAAGCGUUAUUCGGAAUUAUUGGGCGUAAAGGGUUCGUAGGCGGACCAUCAAGUCCGAGUUGAAAGCCCACGGCUUAACCGUGGAGGGUGCUCGGAAACUGUUGGUCUUGAAUUCAGAAGAGGCAAGUGGAAUUCUAUGUGGAGCGGUGGAAUGCGUAGAUAUAUGGAGGAACACCAGUGGCGAAGGCGGCUUGCUGGGCUGAUAUUGACGCUGAUGAACGAAAGCGUGGGGAGCGAACAGGAUUAGAUA
rnacentral:rRNA from 1 species